rnacentral:rRNA from 1 species
ACACGACUACAUUAGAUACCCGCGUAGUCCCAGCCCUAAACGAUGCGCGUUAGGUGUAUCGGUGACCACGAGUCACCGAGGUGCCGAAGGGAAACCGUGAAACGUGCCGCCUGGGAAGUACGGUCGCAAGGUUGAAACUUAAAGGAAUUGGCGGGGGAGCACAACAACGGGUGGAGCUUGCGGUUUAAUUGGAUUCAACGCCGGAAAUCUUACCGGGACCGACAGCAACAUGAAGGCCAAGCUGAAGACUUUGCCGGAUUAGCUG